CCCUCCUUCCCCUUCCUGUCGUGCACUCUUCUUCCUCCUUCCCCCAAAUAUCCACAAAGAAGGCAGGAGGACCAAACCCUAGCCGCCGCCCCGAUCCGAUGGCGCCGUCCCCGUCCCCGCCGCCGCCGGCGAGCGGAGCGCAGUACGCGCACCAGUUCCUCAACACCGCCCUCUCCCAGCGGGGACCCUCGGCGCUCCCCUACGCGGAGGACGUCAAGUGGCUCAUCCGCAACCACCUCGUCGCCCUCGCCGACGCCUUCCCCUCGCUCCACCCCAAGGCGGCCCUCUUCACCCACAACGACGGCCGCGCCGCGCACCUGCUCCAGGCCGACGGCACCGUCCCCAUCCACCACGCCGGCGCCACCUACAACCUGCCCGCCGUCAUCUGGCUGCCCGAGACCUACCCGCGCUCCCCGCCCCUCGUCUUCCUCUCCCCCACCCGCGACAUGCUCAUCAAGCCCCACCACCCGCUCGUCGACCGCUCCGGCCUCGUCGCCAACGCGCCCUACCUCCGCUCCUGGGUCUUCCCCUCCUCCAACCUCCUCGACCUCGUCAGAUCCCUCUCCCACCUCUUCGGCCUCGACCCGCCGCUCUUCACCAGAUCCGUCGCAGCCCCGUCUCCCACUCCUCCUCCCGCUCAUCCUGCUCCUCCUCCCGCCGCCGCCGCCUCCCCCGCCAUGCGCCCCGAGGCCGUCUACGCCCCUGUCCCUCGCCCAUACAGGUUCCCGGCAUCGCCCCAGCUCGCCGCGCGCCAGCCGCCCACAGAGGACCCAGCCGAGGUCUUCAAGCGCAACGCCAUCUCCAAGCUCGUCGAUACCGCCUAUGCUGCCGCUGCCGCUCUGCGCACCGCCCGCGAGGCCGAGGUCGACUCCCUCUUCGCUGUGCAGGCCGAGCUGCGUGGCCGGGGGGAGGCGGUGAACGACGGGGUGCGCAGGAUCACGGAGGAGAAGGAGACGCUCGAGCGUCGGCUUCAGGAUGUGGUGAUGGCCACUGACGUCAUUGAAGCCUGGGUUGCCGAGAACCGCAAGGGGGCUGCCGACGACACCGCCGAGGUGGAGGGGGGCAUCCAGCCAGCUGACGUGCUGUCCAGGCAGAUGCUUGAGUGCACAGCUACUGAUUUUGCGCUUGAGGACACCAUCUACGCGCUUGACAAGGCUGUUCAGGAAGGAUCGGUGCCAUUCGAUGGCUACCUCAGGAGCGUGCGCGCACUUGCACGGGAGCAGUUCUUCCAGCGUGUCCUCUGCACCAAGGUUAACAAUGCGCAACAGCAGGCGCAGGUCGCUAGGAUGGCGGCACGGGCACCACAGUACGCCUCCUAGCCAAGAUGAUGGAUAGGCGAUCAAGGAUGCUUUCCUUGAGAAAAAGAAUCAUCUGUGCUAUCUCAUAUGAGUGAUCUUGCCCCCACAGUGUUCUGGAUAUACAGGGCUGCAACAUUGUUCUUCUUGAAAAGUUCCAGACUAAACUGUACGUGUACUGAUUUCCUGGUACGCCGGACUUUGGAAUGCCGCAUGAUUAAUUCCACAUUGGAACGCUGAGCAUGUGAACUUCAGCUUCUUAGUAUUUUCUCAACCUGGUCAUAUAUACUUUAUACUACCUAUGUUAGCAAACUCUCAUUUUUGAAUGGUUAUUAGUGCUGCUCUACGGAAAUAAUAGGUUGGUGCUGCAAUAGGCUUUCAGAUUAUGUCCUUAUUUGUCUAAUAUAUGCUAGAAAGAAGGAAUUUUCUGAAGAAUGCUUGAAAUGCAGAGUUCAGCAAACAAAUGACAAUUAUUUGUCCCCUUGGGAAGCUCUCACACAAUCGGGCAACUCGAUCUCUACGACGCCAAAAGAACAUCAUUUAUUGAGGAUCUGCGUCACACAGAGGAUCAGACUCAUAGGGUUACCCAGCCAAAAAACUCUGAUGUAGUAUGAGUAUUGCUUCGUCAGUGUGGUAAGCAAAGAUGAGAGUAUUGGCUCAUCAGUGUAGGAUCUGUUUCUCUAUAAACUUGGUCAAACAUAGUAAUUCUUGUCGACGAGGAUUUCUAAAGGUCAAACAUAGUAAUCUUUGACCAAGUUUAUCGAGAAAAUCAUUUAUAUCUACAAUACCAAGCAUAUACAAACAGUACGAAAAUAUACCUUAUGAUGUAUCUAUUGAUAU